AGUGAGAUAACUGGGUCAAAUGGUGGUCCAAGUUUUCUGAGGAAUCUUCAUACUGCUUUCCAGAGUGGUUGCACCAAUUUGCAGUCCCACCAGCAAU
rnacentral:pre_miRNA from 1 species